UACGUAGGGUGCGAGCGUUAAUCGGAAUUACUGGGCGUAAAGCGUGCGCAGGCGGUUUUGUAAGCCAGAUGUGAAAGCCCCGGGCUUAACCUGGGAAUGGCAUUUGGGACUGCAAGGCUUGAGUGCGGCAGAGGAGACUGGAAUUCCUGGUGUAGCAGUGAAAUGCGUAGAUAUCAGGAGGAAUACCGAUGGCGAAGGCAACCACCUGGGCCUGUACUGACGCUGAGGUACGAAAGCGUGGGGAGCAAACAGG
rnacentral:rRNA from 1 species